CUCGAUACAGUUUUAGAAAUAAAGGAUCGGUUCUUUUCUGUAAAUUGCACUUGUGAUUCGCGCCGGUUUCUGCCAUAGUUGAUGAUUUGUAGACAGUUGUAAUUCCACAACAUGGCGUUCACGUUGUGGACAUUGUUCGAGGCAUCUCUGCUGUGUUUAAACGCUGUUUGCGUUUUGAACGAGGAUAGGUUUCUUGCCAAAGUUGGUUGGGCGUCUUGGCAAAAUGUUCAAGGUUUCGGCGAACCUUCUACAUGGAAGUCACAUAUGUUGAACUUGAUCAGGUCUAUAAGAACAGUAGCAAGAGUUCCGCUGAUGUUCUUGAAUAUUUUAAUAAUUAUUGUGAAACUGGUGCUUGGAUGAUUUGUGGUGUAAAUAAAAGAACAGUGAUCUGUGAAGAACCAAAACAUUUGAUAUUGUACAUAAGCAGAAUGUUCCGAAACGAGCACAACACCGCAUUAAGACCAUACUCUGUCUUCUUUCUUGUUUUUGUACAUAUUGUAUCGCUGUACUACUGAAUUCGCGAAAUCCUUGCAUGAUCGUCAACGUUCGUUGAAAUAAACAAGCGACUUAACAUGGCCCCUCAAGGAAAAGUCUAAUGGCGUCGCAAUAUCUCUAUGGCGCAUUUCUAAUAAUCUCAGACAAAUCAAAUUCCCGCCAAAGAAAAGAUGAAAUCAUCUAAAGGGGACAAGCUACACUUGCACGCUGUAGGACGGAAGCGCCGGUCACCAGUGGCCACCGUGGCAGUCGACGCGUUAAAGGAAGUUCCCAUGGUCGCGGCGAUCAUCUUUGAUAAAUCGGUUAUGCGCGGGAUUUCGUAAGCAACGAAAUCUAAAUACACGUCCUCUCACUGUCAGCGACGGUUUUCAUCCCUUGAAAGGCGGACAGCCUGGUUAGGCUGCGUUUCGACCAGAGAAUCAAGAGACCGACCACGGAGGCACAGUGAGGGUAAUUCAAGGGUACUUUCGACCAGCCAAAAUAAUUGAUAACGACUAUAGCGGUGUAUAUCAUUCGGUGGAAAGCGAAAGGCUGCCGAUAGAAAGUCUCAGCCAAAGGGAGCGAUUCGGGUACGGGGAUCCGCGGGUUCAGCGUACCCGCGAGAAAACGAAAAAGAACCAAAUCCGCUACGACCGUCGAAGCGUAGUUUAAGCUAAAGAGACGCCACCGUCGAAAGGGAAAGUGGCGGUUCGGGUUUCUCGUUAACGGGAAACUCGAAUAACGAACCGAAAAACAAAGGCGUCGAGCUAACUUCCGGUUAGAAAGAUCCGUUCGUAGGCACUUGCUUAACGACAUUGCUAUUAUUAUUAUUCGAAUAGUAGAUUGUACGAUACGAAACAAAGAUGUUUUUCGGAAAAUUUUGAAUACACUGAUAUGGUGCUUGGUCGAACUUAUCGAGGACACCGGCCACUGAAACGUCCCGCGCUAAUCUCACUUUGGAAAUUUUCUACACUUGUUCACCGAGACGCUCUCCUUUUCCCACACUCAC